GUGCUCGCUUCGGCAGCACAUAUACUAAAAUUGGAACAAAACAGAAGAUUAGCAUGGCCUCUGUGCAAGGAUGACACACAAAUUCAUGAAGUGUUCCAUAUUUUU
ensembl:snRNA U6 U6 spliceosomal RNA